rnacentral:ncRNA from 1 species
AACCCCGCGGGAGAGCCCCGGCGAACGCAGCCGGGCACCGAAGGAGCAAGCCUCCCCGCCAAUCUCUCAGGUAUGCGUACCGCGCGG